rnacentral:rRNA from 1 species
UGGCGGCGUGCGUGACACAUGCAAGUCGAACGGAGAAUUCAAUAAGUUUACUUAGAGAAUUCUUAGUGGCGGACGGGUGAGUAACGCGUGGGUAACSUACCCAUAAACCCGGGACAACCCUUGGAAACGAGGGCUAAUACCGGAUAAUCUUAGGGCUUGGCAUCAAGCUUUAAGGAAAGGUGGCCUCUGUAUAUGCUACCGAUUAUGGAUGGACCCGCGUCUGAUUAGCUAGUUGGUGGGGUAAAGGCCUACCAAGGCGACGAUCAGUAGCCGGCCUGAGAGGGUGAACGGCCACACUGGGACUGAGACACGGCCCAGACUCCUACGGGAGGCAGCAGUGGGGAAUCUUCCGCAAUGGACGAAAGUCUGACGGAGCAACGCCGCGUGUAUGAUGAAGGUCUUCGGAUUGUAAAGUACUGUCUUUGGGGAAGAAUGACUGGCUUGAAAGUAUUGAGUCAGUAUGACGGUACCCAAGGAGGAAGCCCCGGCUAACUACGUGCCAGCAGCCGCGGUAAUACGUAGGGGGCAAGCGUUGUCCGGAAUUAUUGGGCGUAAAGGGCGCGUAGGCGGAUUUUUAAGUCCGGUGUGAAAGAUCAGGGCUCAACCCUGAGAGUGCAUCCGAAACUGGGGAUCUUGAGGACAGGAGAGGAAAGUGGAAUUCCUA